GCGUCGGUUCCGGUUGAUCCUGCCGGACUCCGACCGCUAUCGGGGUGGGGAUAAGCCAUGGGAGUCUGCGCUCCCGGCAAGGGAGCGUGGCGGACGGCUGAGUAACACGUGGCUAACCUACCCUGAGGACGGAGAUAACCCCGGGAAAUUGGGGAUAAUCUCCGAUAGGGGAGGAGUCCUGGAAUGGUUCCUUGCAUAAAGGGCUAUAGGCUAUUUCCCGUUCAUAAGCGCCUGAGGAUGGGGCUGCGGCCCAUCAGGUUGUCGGUGGGGUAAAGGCCCCCCGAACCUAUAACGGGUAGGGGCCGUGGGAGCGGGAGCCUCCAGUUGGGCACUGAGACAAGGGCCCAGGCCCUACGGGGCGCACCAGGCGCGAAACGUCCCCAAUGCGCGAAAGCGUGAGGGCGCCACCCCGAGUGCUUCCGCAAGGAAGCUUUUCCCCGCUCUACAAAGGCGGGGGAAUAAGCGGGGGGCAAGUCUGGUGUCAGCCGCCGCGGUAAUACCAGCUCCGCGAGUGGUCGGGGUGAUUACUGGGCCUAAAGCGCCUGUAGCCGGCCCGCCAAGUCGCUCCUUAAAGUCCUCGGCUCAACCGGGGGACUGGGGGCGAUACUGUUGGGCUAGGGGGCGGGAGAGGCGGGGGGUACUCCCGGAGUAGGGGCGAAAUCCUUAGAUCCCGGGAGGACCACCAGUGGCGGAAGCGCCCCGCUAGAACGCGCCCGACGGUGAGAGGCGAAAGCCGGGGCAGCAAACGGGAUUAGAUACCCCGGUAGUCCCGGCUGUAAACGAUGCGGGCUAGGUGUCGAGUAGGCUUAGAGCCCAUGCGGUGCCGCAGGGAAGCCGUUAAGCACGCCGCCUGGGGAGUACGGUCGCAAGUCUGAAACUAAAGGAAUGC
rnacentral:rRNA from 1 species